GCUCCCUGCGCGCCGCGCCCCGCUCGCCCACCGCACGUGCAGUUGCCCAGUGCGGGUGCCGCGGCGUGGCCAUCGCCAACUCACGGGAAGUCUUCUCCAUAGACGUCAUCGACUACGCCGUUGGCUUGCUGCUCGACGUACUCUGGCGCGUGUCUGCGGCAGAGCGGUAUGUCUAGCACGGGUCCUGGCUGGUGCAGGGCGACCAUCCCCUCGGGUCCAAGGAUUAGUGGAGCGUACUUGUUUAAAGACCCGAUGAACACGCCUGGUCAUGGGAAUGCAAAUCUCAUGAGUGAAAAUCCGCGCGAACGAAAAUUGAAGGGUGUUCAAAGUUGGUAUGCCUGAGUGUCCGAUGAGAAAAGAGCGGAAUACAACCAGAAGCAGCUUACAACCCGGUCAGAAAAGGAGGCCCUAUAUAGGAUCUUUACUUGGGAGAUAAGGAGGAGAAAAAGCAGAGCUCCUCUUCACAGGAUAGGAUCAGGGGAGCGUACUUGUUUAAAGACCCGAUGAACACGCCUGGUCAUCGGAAUGCAAAUCUCACGAGUGAAAAUCUGCAAGGACAAAAAUUGAAGGGUGUUCAAAGUUGGUAUGCCUGAGUGUCCGAUGAGAAAAGAGUAGAAUACAACCAGAACCGGCUUACAACCCUGUCAGAAAAGGAGGCCCUAUAUAGGAUCUUUACUUGGGAGAUAAGGAGGAGAAAAAUCAGAGGUCCUCUUCACAAGAUAGACCUUUUAUGUGUCAUGUCGACAAUGGUGUUUGAUAAGAAGUCCAAGCAGGCUGCAUAUCAGGUGAAUCAAGGAAGUUGGUACGAUAUGCAGCCUUCAAAGCAUAGAUUAUAUACUCACAAGUUCUUAGCAACCAUGGCUCCACCCACAACCUGAGGAGGCGGCUGCACCGACAACCUGCUUUCCCUCGAUUUGUUCAGUGAGCACUGUUAUCUUAUUCUCCUUACUCUUACUAUCAUGAGUGGGUUUGGAAUUUGGGUUUUUUAGUUCUCGCGUUUGGACCAAAUGACUGCGCAUUGACAUCAAUACUAAGGAGAAGUAUUGGAACACAAGUUGACAAUGAAGGAAUUAUUGUGAUGGAUAUCAGAAGUUACUCGCAUUGACUAUAACUGUAGAAGUUACAUUCAGUCAUGGAGAAAUGAGUUUUUUAAAUAUCAAAUAGGACUGUCAACUUAUAUUAUUUGACUGGAUAAAUGGGGAUGUGAAUCACUUCAAAUUGACUGCAAUAAUGACCCUUUGUUCACAGGACAAAUGAAUAUGUAGGUUACGUUGCUUGUACUUUUUUAUUAAUUAGUUCAAAGAGUCAUUGACUGUAUCAUCACACUGACACAGAAGACAACCAGAUAUUUAAGUCAAUUUAAGUAGAGUACCCAGGUCUGUGUGUUGUCAUCAAUUUAAGUGAAUUGCUAUGCUAGAAGUGGACAUGUUUCUAUGCUUAUCUGAAUUUUAACCGUUACCAAGUGCUUGAGGUUGUGAGGGUUCCAGUCAGGUUUUCAGAAAAGCAUUUGGGGUGCUAUGCUAGAGCACUGUUUUCAGAAAAGCACUUAAUUGAUCUCUAGCUUUUUUCACAAGACCACCACCGGUGAAUGAUUGCAGAAUUUUUCAUGUCAUUAUACACCAUUAUUUUUUUCUUUGGUACGACUGUUUGCGCUACUAAAAUCUUCAUUUCUUCUCAGGAUAGCAAAGUUUGUAUGUGUACUUAUAUUUGCUUGUACUGAGCGAUGCUACUUUUACGAGAGCAUGUCAUAAUUAAAUUUCAGUUUGAAGUAAUAAUUAUAUCUUCAUGUCAUGUUCUCUGUCAUCUCUCACCAUUGUGUUGCAAACCACACAUGACGAGCAAUUUUAAGAACCACCACCGUUUUAGUGUGAACGUAGAAUAAAUAUAGUAUGCCUGUUUAAAAUCUUCCAUUGAAUGUAUGGAAAUAUAAAGUAUCAAUAAUGUUCUAUUUCUGAAAGGAUUUUUUUAGUAUCAGGUAUAAAAAAUAGCAGACAUAUUUCGCAAUACUUACGGUGCAUAGCUGGUUAAUCUAUUCAGAAAGGGGAGAAUCAUAAGGAGUUGUUGCACUUUAAAGCUUUUUCCUCGGUUUCUUGUUUUGCUCAUUUCUGUUGACUUUUGUAUGGCCAAAGCAGGAGCUUGGAUGAUGUUAGGUUGAAUCUCGAGUUUCUUAAGUACUUGUGAUGAAUACCAUGCCAUUUUGUAUUUGUACAACUUUCAUGGAGGGAGUGCAACAUAUCUAGGACUCACCAUGACGACGUGCAUUCUAAAAAAAGCAUAAUCAAAUUCCUAUAACUUAAGAAAUAAGAUCCCUUUACGACUAGCGGAACAAUGGAAUUGACUGUACACAAUCUUUCUUUCAUCGCAAUUAUCCAUGCUGAUAAAGUAUUCGUCCUUCAUGUUUUGAAGAAUAGUUCAGUUGAAUGUACAAAGUCGGUAACCUCAUGAUGAAAAGGAAUAACCUGGGAUGGUAAAGGAGACUAGCUUAGUCCAUUCCUUUUGCUUUGCUUACUAAUGAUGCCCGAAGAUGCAAAAUACUAAUUAUUUGACCGUAUAUUUUCAAGAAAAUUCUUUUUUUCAUUAUGUAUACUUAUGUUUGAGACGUGUGUUAUUAAAUAGAAUCUUCAUUCGGAAUGUAGCUACUAAUGUUUACACAUAUUUCUUUACAAGUUUAGGGUUUCAAAUAAACUUAAUGUUGAUCUUUUUUAAGAUUAUAUUACACAUGCGUUGCAUGUGCACAAUUACUAGUCUAAUAGAAAUUUGUCACAUCAGCCUGACCGGUGGGCUCCACCUCGCAUAAACGGGCUUAGUCGAGGCAAAUCCAUCGACCAGUGUUAUUUGCAAAAGAAUUACAAUAGCCACAACGUUUUCAAUAACAAAAAUAUAACACGGUGUUUUCUGCAAACCUUGCCUUCAACGUGAAGCUUUUAUGUAAUUUAUGUUAGAAAGUAAUUAGUAGAUUAAUUAGCAAAGGGAUGUGUCCAACCCCGAACAGUCGUGUCUCUUCUCUCUCUAUUGCCAACACACGUGUUCUGAAGGGAUGCCUCCGAAUAGACACCUCUUCUUCGCACCUCUUGCACAUGUAUAUAUACUUGAGAAUCAAUAAAAACAUGACUAAUCGUCAAUUCACUUUCAUUCAAUCUCGUUUUACUCUAACACGUUAUCAGCACGCUCUCGAGUGGAGCGAUUUUACAAUAGGUCUGGUAUUCAAGCAAAAAUGGCCAAAGGCGAACGACUUCUGCGUGACGCGAAGCAGCUGUAGCGACCGCGGCAUGCUGGUGCGGUACUCCGCGUACUCCGUCGGCUGGAUCAAGGCACGGGGCGGCUUCAUGAUUCGGGGAGUGAUUACAGCAAGGCUGGCUGUGGCAGAACGGCAUGCAUGCAUGCAUCAGGAAAUCAGUUGGCAAAUGCAAAUCUGUUGUCUCCUUGUGAUUAAGAGCGGUAGUCCGAUCUGGCAAAACCAUGAACGGCUUCAUCCUUGGCAAGAGCUGCAAGAGGCUAACAACGCAGCGACAUGCAUCGGCAACCCAUGAUGCAUGCAUGCAUUUGUACAGGAAAUUAAUCAUCAGAAUGUUUAUUCGGUUUGUCUUCUUGUGAUUAAGAGAAAUCUCAUCCAUUCUACCUUA